AUGAACGCUGGCGGCGUGCCCAAUACAUGCAAGUCGAGCGAACAGACGAGGAGCUUGCUCCUCUGACGUUAGCGGCGGACGGGUGAGUAACACGUGGAUAACCUACCUAUAAGACUGGGAUAACUUCGGGAAACCGGAGCUAAUACCGGAUAAUAUAUUGAACCGCAUGGUUCAAUAGUGAAAGACGGUUUUGCUGUCACUUAUAGAUGGAUCCGCGCCGCAUUAGCUAGUUGGUAAGGUAACGGCUUACCAAGGCAACGAUGCGUAGCCGACCUGAGAGGGUGAUCGGCCACACUGGAACUGAGACACGGUCCAGACUCCUACGGGAGGCAGCAGUAGGGAAUCUUCCGCAAUGGGCGAAAGCCUGACGGAGCAACGCCGCGUGAGUGAUGAAGGUCUUCGGAUCGUAAAACUCUGUUAUUAGGGAAGAACAAAUGUGUAAGUAACUAUGCACGUCUUGACGGUACCUAAUCAGAAAGCCACGGCUAACUACGUG
rnacentral:rRNA from 1 species